GGACUACUGGGGUAUCUAAUCCCGUUCGCUCCCCUGGCUUUCGCACCUCAGCGUCAGGUAACACCCAGAACACUGCCUUCGCCUUUGGUAUUCCUCCGGAUAUCUACGCAUUUCACCACUCCACCCGGAAUUCUGUGUCCCUCUGUGUCCCUCAAGUGGCCCAGUUUUUCGCACCCUCUCGUCGUUAAGCUACGAGCUGUCAUACAAAACUUGGGUCACCGCCUGCGUGCCCUUUACGCCCAGUAACUCCGGACAACGCUCGCCCCCUACGUAUUACCGCGGCUGCUGGCAC
rnacentral:rRNA from 1 species